GCUGGGUGUGGUGGCGCAUGCCUGUGGUCCUAGCUACUCAGGAGGCUGAGGCAGGAGGAUCACUUGAGCCCAGGAGGUUGAGGCUGCAGUGAGCCAUGGUCUGAUCAUGACAUUGCACUCCAACCUGGGUGACAGAGUGAGACCCUGUCACAA
rfam:Pan troglodytes isolate Yerkes chimp pedigree #C0471 (Clint) chromosome 8, whole genome shotgun sequence.